rnacentral:rRNA from 1 species
AGUAAGACCCCUUGAAGACGACGAGGUAGAUAGGUUGGAGGUGGAAGUGCAGUAAUGCAUGGAGCUGACCAAUACUAAUCGGUCGAGGGCUUAUCCUAAAA